GGGUUGGAAGUUCCUAUAACCACUUGGCAACUGCCUCCCACAAGAGGUCGGCUUUGCAUAUCUGCCAGGCCCCGCACGUACCUCUAGGUCACAGUAGCCCCAGUCAUGUAAGACAGAUGCUCUUGUCCUGUAGUCCCCACCGCCCCUGAAUCUGACCUGGAAGAGGUCAGGAGCAGCAGCUGGCGAGUGUGGGAGGGUCCAGCGGGGGAGAUAGGAAGAUGGCCACACAACCCUUUCUGCCUACAGGCAAACGGUCAGAGUCUGAAGUACUGCCCUGUUAGAAGACGAGAGACUCUCUAAUUUAGAUGGCAAGAGAAGGCAGUGUGUCCCUGGAGAAUCUUCCCUGGAAUCUGGUGUCCCUGGAAAAUUUUCCAAGUCGCCUAGCGAGACUGGAACAGCUCAGAAGAAACAGUCCACUCACUCAUACAUUCCACAAGCAUGCCUUGGGUACCUACUAGAUAAUGAGACUGUGAUAUAGAGGUAAAAUAAAUUGCCCCAAGUCACAGACAGUGAGAGAGCUGAGACUGAAACCCUGGCUGUCUUAUCCAAGGAAACAAACAACUUGAGACAAGAGAUGUAAAGAAAGGCGAAGAAAGUAAGUUUACU